rnacentral:rRNA from 1 species
GUGAGGAAUAUUGGUCAAUGGGCGAGAGCCUGAACCAGCCAAGUAGCGUGCAGGAUGACGGCCCUAUGGGUUGUAAACUGCUUUUACACGGGGAUAAAGUGUGCGACGUGUCGUUCAUUGCAGGUACCGUGCGAAUAAGGACCGGCUAAUUCCGUGCCAGCAGCUGCGGUAAUACGGAGGAUCCGAGCGUUAUCCGGAAUUAUUGGGUUUAAAGGGUGUGUAGGGGGAUUGAUAAGUCAGCGGUGAAAGUUUGCAGCUUAACUGGAAAAUUGCCGUUGAAACUGUCGGUCUUGAGUGCAAAUGAGGUAGGCGGAAUGUGUGGUGUAGCGGUGAAAUGCUUAGAUAUCACACAGAACACCGAUUGCGUAGGCAGCUUACUGGAGCGAAACUGACGCUGAGGCACGAAAGCGUGGGGAUCGAACAGGAUUAGAAACCCGUGUAGUCC